rnacentral:rRNA from 1 species
UGGCAGGUACAGCGGGAAGCCAUAUGGCGACAUAGAGCGGAACCCGAAAACCUGUCUCAGUUCGGAUUGGAGUCUGCAACCCGACUCCAUGAAGCUGGAUUCGCUAGUAAUCGCGCAUCAGCCACGGCGCGGUGAAUACGUUCCCGGGCCUUGUACACACCGCCCGUCAAGCCAUGGGAGCCGGGGGUACCUGAAGUGCGUGACCGCAAGGAGCGCCCUAAGGUAAAACCGGUGACUGGGGCUAAGUCGUAACAAGGUAAC